GCCAAAACCCGCGCAGCCCUCACUGCGCGUGCGGCUUCGGCGGCGCCGUGCACUCACGCAUGCGCAGAGUGCGACCACCAGGCGCUCGCAGCCCGAGCGGGAGGGAACCCCUCCCGCCUUCAGCCUCCGCGCGUGCGCCGUCCUCCGCUCCUGGAGGGGCUGGCUUUUCCCGCCAGAAGGUGGUCAAGCGCGCGCGCCGUUUCUCGUGCGCUGCUGAAGUGGCGGCGGGCGGGGGCGCCGGGGAGGGCCGUGCGAUGGCGAGCGGCCUUGAGGCUCCCUGAGCCGAGGCGAGCGGACUUUUUUCCCUUAAGCUGCGUGUGUGACGAGAACAAUAAAGCAGGUAGUUCUGUUGUUGACGUGAAACGGUCGUUGUGCCAAUAAACUGUCGUUCUGUGGCUGAAUUCGUUACCUCAGGCACCAUGGAGGGCUGCGUUGCGUCCUGCUGUGGUGAGGGGCUUUCAGAUCCACAGACACAGAAAAGAGCCGCUGCUUCUCCCUGCUCGCCACAGGCUCCGUGUGUCAGCGUGUUAACAGGCUGCGUUUGUAUGCGAGUUGUAAAAGAACAAGAACGUGAGCCAGGAGAGCGUUAGAGACCAGAGUUAUGUGAAAGUGCGUGACACAAAACAUCUGUGGCAAAGCAGGAGAAAUUCCUCUUGCAGACAUGUCAAAAAGCAGUGAAACCAGUGAAGGCUGUAGAGUGUUGAAGGGUGGGAACACCUGCUGCACGGAUUUCCCUUCAGAGCUUUUAGCAUCGCAAAUGAGCAGUUUGAACAAGAUCCAAAUAGCGACAGCAUCAAGAUUCUCCUGAAGUCCUCUGCAGAAGAUGGCUGCAUGGAAGGGGAUCAUUGCCACGACCCAGCCAUAACCUGGCAAUAAGAUAAAGCUCACAACCUGGCCACAGGCAUCAAGUUUGGGCAACUUCGCCUGCAGAACUGUGCUGAGGGUUUUCCCACAUCCUUGGUGUCCCGAGGCAGAGCAGUGUUGGACUGACAGGAUUGGCACAGUUGCUGGAAAUGUGAAGUCCUGAUGACUCUGAAGAAUUUAAUAAUUUUUUGAUGCCUUCAAAUUAAAAUGGCAUUGCUUUAUAUUCCAUGUACGAAUUAAUGUGCUUUUAGUACUUGGCAUUUUCUACAUGUGAUAUAUCUGCAGUCUGGAGCUCAGUGCCCCUUCCUAUACUAACAAUCCUAUACUGAGCCUGAACUUUGAUGAGGAGUUCAAACAGGAAGAGCUCAUCUUCAAGUGUGCAGAGAAUAGACAGUGAAUGCCGCUCAGACCUUCACUUUAAAGAAUCCUACCACAGAGCCAGUUUGACGGAAGAAUGAUAUUUCUUUAUUCAUAUGUACAUAAACAGAUCUCUUCUUCCUAGCAGCAUUCAGUCCAGAAUAGUUAGCAGGAGGUCAAUACCUAACUUGCUUCUUGUGACUUUGGGAAAUUUUUAUCACUGCAGGCUGUCCAUGUACCAGCAAGUGUAACUUAUAUUUUCUUCAAGGACUCCUCAUGUACACAUACUAGUCUCUGGGUUUAAAAAAAACCCCUCAUUAUUUGUGUAAAAUAGUCCUAGCAACUUGCUGUAGUUAACUGUGCUUGGGCAGGAUUUCCACAAUUGGAUCUCCGGACGUCCAAACUGAACAAUACUGUGAAAUCAAAGAUUGAGAUAAAGCUUUUCUAGUAAUCGCUUUGUUGUCCUCUAAAAAGCACUGUUGUCUCUGGGUAGCUAAACUUGACACUGAGAAACCAAGAAGGAAAUGCCGUACACUCUAUAAUGUGUACAGAGCUACUUCGCAAUACCAGUCUAAAUGCUUUUCUGUAUUAAUUUUUUAUUCUGAAUACAUAUAUAUUCUAAAUCAAGAUGCACAAUUUUGUAAUUUCAUUUGCACAGAAUAAUGCCUUGUUGCCUGAGUAGCAAGGAUGAGGUCCUGGUAAUGGAUAACACUGUAUGUGUGUGUGGGGUGUCACCCACAUGGCUGUAAAACCUGGGUGUUGAUAAUGGAGUUAUUCUAGGACAUGAUUAUCUGCCUUACCAUAGCGCAGUGUGAACAGUGCCUUCCACCUCUGUGGGCUUUCACUCUGCCCUCUUGUGUAACAAUUACAGCAUGUCAGUCCAGAGGGAAGCUGACCGCGUUGCUUUGCAAAGCUCCAAGCCUUGGGAAUGUCGCUGCCUUGUUUUCUUCCAUACAAUUCAUGUUUAUGAAGGCCAACACUUGCAGCCUCAAUCCACGUGAUACUUAGGAAACUUCUGACUAAUUUCAAAAUGGAUGUACUUGACAACAGUGCUAAGGUGUCAGUUUGUAAGUUUAAUAACAUAGAUGUAAGCAUUUCUCAGCUACAAGAUAAUCAGUAACACACAAGGAUUUAAUACAAAAACCCCCUAUACUAAUAGCUUGGUUCUCAUGUAUGUGAACCCUCUGGUAUUUCCUACACUGCAUGUUUUACAGGGAAGCAGUUUCUCUGUAAAGAGAGCAUGCGAGUGAGUGCAUGUGCACACAUACACUUACAAAUGAGAAUUGUUUUUUAGCAACCAAGAAGUAGAGAUACUACAAUAUUACUGAAACAAAAAUAAAGAUAUGAGCCUAAGUUUUAGGGUGGAGACAUUCAAAUGAAUCUAAAGGAUUUAAAUUCCUUUUAAAUUCACUGAGAUACAGUUGACUCGAUCAUUUAGGCUUUCUUGUUAUGGUCUCACUUGGGACUUCCUUUUCUUCUACUCCGAUGGGUAUCUCUCCACGCUUAUAGACACUGACAGUAACCUGCCCUGUUUCGGAGCCAUAUUUGUUCUUUACAUAGAUGCUGUAUUUUCCUGUGUCUUCAUUGCAGACUUUCUCUAUAGUAAUUGUGAUAACUGUCCCCUUCACAUCCAUUCUGUAACGAUCUUUAAAGAUGAUAGUUUUCUCAUUUUUGAACCAAGUGAUUUCUGGGUAAGGAUCUCCAGAGAUACAGCAAGUUAAACACAGGGUCUAUUGUAAAACAAAUAGUAGAGAUAGAUUAUGAAGACACAAAUGAGCAAGGAAAUUCAGAUGAUGUGAUGAUGUUAAUAAUUAAAAAUCAAGAUCAGUAAAAAUCCACAGGAGUUGCUUAUCCAUAAUCUCUUUGUUCUAAACAGAUUAGAACAGAUUAACUUCAUAGUAUUCAUCAAAUAACACAUAUACUUUUAUCUUAGCUCUAUGUUUCUUAAAAUGAGUGUGACAAUUCCUGAAAGGUGUGUGUUAUUUAAGAUUAUUCUUGUUACUUUGCAGUUACACUGAACUUGCUGUCUAAUUACGGAUCCAUGGAAAUAGCGGUCCUCAAUUUAAUGUUAUUAAUGUUUCUUGCAGUUUCUGUGGAACUAGAAAAUUCUUACAAUAGUGACUUUGAGUCACUUUCACAUCCUUGGUAAUAAAAUGCCAGAAAUGACAGUGAGCAUUUAAAACCAAGAAUGUUCUCCCCAGCAGUCGUUCCCCUAAAUCUGUGCAAGGCCCAGUUAUCCCAGUGGUUACCCAACAUUACCUUAUCCUCCAUGAUGGUAGCUACAUCUGGCAGACCUUGAACAACUCUGGCGCGACCUGGGAAUGAGCAAAUAUGACCUCUUAGUUUUACUUAUCAGUGUCCCACUUGGUUUUGUUUGGCAGAAGAAAUUCAUUUACUUACACUUUUCUGCUAUUGCUGCUUCUCUGAAAGUGAAGAGACAAAGACAAAAUUAUAAUGGUUUUAUCUAUUAGGUAUUGUACCGAAUAUGACGCUCAAAAUAGAUCAGUUUGGCUGUGAAAAUAGUUAGGCAGGAACUUACUUUAGCCUUCUGUGCUCAGCCAGGGCAUCUUCAAAGACUGCAAGGAAUGAAAUAGUUUUAGGGAACAUUGCUGUUUAUUUCUUUUGACAUAGUAGGUUUAAUAUAAUACAUCAAUGUUGGAAUCAUAGGUAUUUGUGCACAAAGCUAUGUGUUAUUAACUCUUAUUUGCCAUAAGAAAAACUGAAUCUAUUUAUAAACUACUGAAGUAAGUGGAGCCUUGUACUUCCUUCCCUCAGGAGGAAAAAAUCCUUUGAACCGUUUGGAAAAGUCUCUAUAAACUUGAAGCCAUGUUCUUUCCAGGAUGUCCCCUAUAUGCUCUGUCAGCCUCCAGGACCCAGAUACAUCCUGGGAGCAGCUGUCCUCCCAUGUCCCUCCUGAGGAGUGCCUGAUACUCAGCAGUGCUCCCUAAAGGCUUCAGUCUUUUCCACUGAUCCCUUCUCCUUUUGUCUUCCCUUUGGCUUUGUUGGGCACUUGACUGUCCUUAACCCAGUCUAGUAGCAUGCUGUCACAGAACCAUAGCCCCAGCUCAAAUGAAAGGGAAGAAUUGCUGCCAGAGAUUUGAAGGAAUCUUGGAAAGCAGCUCAGGGAGACCUAAUUCCAGUGAAGCAGUUGUUGAUUUGGCUUACCUUGCCCAGACAAGUCGGUUGACAACUUGUGAGAGUCAUUCCCAUCAAAUAACUCCAGAAUGUAUUUUCCUUUGUCUGUAUCUGUUGGGUUCAGUAUGUGAAGCCAGAUCUGAUUCAUUGUGCUCCCAGCUUUCAGUUUGUCACGAAUUUCCAGUCGCUUCUCCCUAAAUAAACAGAUUAUUUAAUUUCAGUACAAUUUAGCAGACCUGUCUAAAUUGAAGUGCUAACUUUCUGUUAGAUCUCAACCCAUUAGGACAACAGAGUGGGAGUCAGAACCUUGGUCAUCAUUUUGUGAAGUGUUACGUAUUCAGGCACUUGAAUAUCUCACUGGCCAUCUUUAGGUAGUUUGCUAAAGCUCUACAGGUUCUAGAAAAUACCUCAUAGUUCUUAUUUGGGAGAUUAAAUAAGAGUUAGACAUCGUAUAACAUUGGCACAGACUGCCUAGGGAAGUGGUGGAGUCACCGUCCCUGGAGGUGUUUAGGAGUAGAUGUAGUACUUAAGGACACGGUCAGCGGGCAGUGUUGUCCAUCCAGUAGAUGGACAGUUGGACUGAAUUAUCUUAGAAAUCUUUUCCAACUCUAAUGAUUCUAUGAUUCUCUGAUAUGCAUUUAGUCCUUGAACAUCAUUAAAACUGGCCUCCUGUAUGUCUGUAGGAUGUGCAUAAUAAAACGGUUUUUCUCUAUUUUACCAAGAUGUUAUGAGACUAAAUGAAUUUGGAAAGAGUCACGUUUGGAAAGAGUCUUGUAAUGUUUGGGAGCUGUGUUGUUCAGAGUGGGGCAAUAUGGUGGUUUAUGGAAGCAUAAAAAUAGUAGAAAUAAAGAGCUUGAAACGAGAAAAUAAUGGCUUCCUUUUCUGUUUGUAACCAGGGUUAUUAUUCCAGUAAAGAUGACCAGUUAUUUGUAUCUCAACACCGCCAGAAAAUUUAUAAUAUGAUUGUUCAUUUUGGAAUCCCCAGUUUCAGGAUAGUUUCAGGAUUCAGAGAGAAUCGUGGUUUUCAGCUCUGACUCUGACAAAUCUCCCAUUGCCUUAAAAAACUGUGGUCUGAGGCCUGGGAUACCCAGUUUUUGUGAUAAACAAUUACAAGCAACAGUACCCUCAGAAGUCUUCCUAGUGCCUUUAGGGACUCACUUGUGAAACCAGGUUGUUUUCAUGUAGUCUGUGUAGUACUUGACAUCAGUGUAGAUUUUGAUGCCUUCAUCAGUAGGCUGAAUUUUCAGAGGUGUAGCAGAAAGAGCUGAUGGUAUAAUCAGAAGACUGGAAUUGAAGAGGGAAUCCAAAAACAUCUGUGCAAUUUUAUACCUUAUACAAAGAAAAUCCCAGGCAACCUAUCGACAUUUCUCUCUGGAGAAUGUGACUGGUUGAACGUUGGAUAGUAUUCUGCCUCUGAAAGGCUCCUCCUUUAGCCAGCAGAGAGCAGAAAAAUGUCAUCUCUUCUGGAGACCUAUCAUACACAUCUCACAGACAGAAAUAGUACAACUUGCCCAAAUUCACAUAGCGAAUGAUGUGACAAGGAGGAGGCUGCUGGCACAUACAGGUCACAGAAAUAAUUUGCAAGUGCAGAGGGUUUUGUGUCCCUGGACUCAUUUACUGACCACCCUUCUUGGCAGUGUAAAGGUGCUUCUAAUGCCGAAGUAAUAUUAAAAGAGCAGUAUUGUACUUGAGAUGGUACACACUGACCUCUAGAUCCAGGGGCAGCUCCUGUGCUGUUUGCUCUGAUCCUGGCACCCCACCCCCUUCCCCUGCUGUUAUUACUGAGGAGGAAAAGACAUACCACUGAUCCUGCACAGCUCCUUGAGAAGGUCUUCAAAGGUUCCUUUUAUGAGAUCAAGUUGGGUGUAGUCCUCUCCUCGGUCAUCUGAAACAACUGCUUUGUAUUGACCUUCAUCUGCUUUGGUUAUCUUUUCAAUAUGAAGAGUUCCUAUCCCAGUCUGUGGGUCAAACAUACCAUCUGUUCGGGCUUUCUUAUUGAAGAACCACUGGAAGUUGGUGUCCUUUCUCAGAUUUGUUGCCUGUUUAAAGUCAAGGUUUAGAAGUUGGGGUCCCAAAAGCAUUUUAUUUUGUAAAUGCAGAGAUGUUCUAAUGUGAAGCGUCACAGCAGUUCUACAGGAUUGCUGUAGAAUACUGUAAGCUUUCCUUUUUGUUAUAAAGUCUGCUCAAGUUCUACUCUCUCUUACCCUUCAUUGGUCUGAAAAUAACCAUUUGAAUGAGCAUUGUUCAUUCCCAGACCUUAAAUUUCACACCUAAAAUGUCAGGCUAAAGAAAUUCAGGCUGUGCAGUUGCAUUGCAUUGAUGUACAUACCUUGCAGGUAACGAGCACUUCACAGUUCUCAGUAACCUUCCAUUUCAAAUUCUCUACAAAAUAUGGACCUAUAAAAGAAAAUAAAUAUCUUGCUGUGUGACUCCACAGCUCAAGAAUGAUCUACUGGGAUGCCUCCAUCUCAUGGUGAGCCCUAGCAGUGCUGACUGGAAGGGGCAGUCAUGCACCUGAUGUGCACCAGACACACAGUUUACAUCACACAGUUAUUGCUGGCUCUGUAAUGUUCUAAGGCAUUACAAAUGUCCUAAGGCAUUACAAGGUAGUGAUCUUGUUCACUGAAGAAUCAGAUCUUAAAAUGUCAGUGAAUUAAUCAACAUAAAUAAUACACUUAGUGAAGAUGAUACAAGCAUUUAGAGCAUUUGAUGAAAUGCCUUUGCUCCAGUUUUGCCAUCCUUUUGGCACAGUUCUGGUAAGUCAUUAACCUUCUGCUUA
rnacentral:lncRNA from 1 species